AAAAAGACAAAACCUGAUUUUCGUGUCCAACAUUUGACCGUCUGUCUUAUUUAAAAAAAAUAAAAAGAUAAGCCAUGUAUAAAGUAUUAAUCAUGUUUUAUUAUCUAACAACAAUGGAAAUACUAAUUAUAAAAAUAUUUAAAAAGACGGACAGUCAAACGUUGGCACGAGAAUUCACGGUUUGUCUUUUU
rfam:Oryza meridionalis cultivar OR44 (W2112) chromosome 3, whole genome shotgun sequence.